UACGUAGGUGGCGAGCGUUGUCCGGAUUUACUGGGCGUAAAGGGAGCGUAGGCGGACUUUUAAGUGAGAUGUGAAAUACCCGGGCUCAACUUGGGUGCUGCAUUUCAAACUGGAAGUCUAGAGUGCAGGAGAGGAGAAUGGAAUUCCUAGUGUAGCGGUGAGAUGCGUAGAGAUUAGGAAGAACACCAGUGGCGGAGGCGAUUCUCUGGACUGUAACUGACGCUGAGGCUCGAAAGCGUGGGGAGCAAACAGGAUUAGAUA
rnacentral:rRNA from 1 species